GGGGCUGGGGAGGCGGGGUCCCAGCUCUGUGCUCGCGCCCCCAGCGCGCCAGUCCGGGGGCUGCAGGGAGCGCAGCGCGCGCGCCCCGGGCCCCGGCCACCGGACGCCGUACCGGACACGACCCUCCCUGGAGCUUGGACAACUGCCCACCUCGGACACUGCACCGGACACUGCCCCCCACAGGGCUGGACACUACGACGGACACUACUUCCCAGCUCCGGACAUUACUCCCUCCUUUACCCCGGCCCUGGACGAUUUUCCGCCUCCCCCUUCGGGGGGCCCAGACACUGAGCCCCCCUUAGACUCUGGUUAACUUCCCCUUGCACCCCAGCGCCAGACAUUGCCUCCUCCUUGUGCCCCUCUCCUUCUUCCUUCUCCCACCUCAUCUUUCCCCUCCUCGAGUGGGAGCUGCACCGGUUUCUCCGACCCCCUGCUGCUUGGCCACGGCUGCCCGCGCCCCCAUCUCCCGGCUCCUCGCCCGGAUGCCUCUCCCCGGGGGAUUGUGGUGGCUCCUCUGCUGCCGUCGAGGCUUCACUCUUCUGCAUCGGGACUACGGGGACGGAGAGCUUAGCGGGGACGGGGAGGAGGACGAGGACGAGGAGACCUUUGAGCUACGAACCCCGAGUCCAGCGGGCGGCGGGAGGACUAGCAAAACGCCGCGCGCUUGGCAAACGGGGGACGUCGGGGAGGUUUCUGCCUGGGAGCCAAAGCCCCUGGGACUUCAAGGAGCUGAAGCCCUACUCUGGAUGUGCCUGUGGGCCUCGCGCCGCACGCUGGGCGCUGUCCACCUGCUGGGGGCCCUGAGGCAGGGGAGGCGUCACGCGUGGCCCGACCUGGCCCUGCCUCUCCCUUCCCUGCCGGGCUCGCGUCCCAUCCCGUCUCCUUCCGCCUCCGCCAGCGCCAAGGAAUGUGGUGAGGCCGGCUGGGCAGCUCGAACGCCUGGGUCCCCUGCGCUCCCAAUUCGUGAGCGCUGGAGCCAAAUGCGGGAGCUCCUGCUGCGAGGACCUGGUCCAGGGGGUGAAGGCAUCCUAGAAUUGGGGUCUGCAGUGGGGACCCCACGGAGAGGGAGCUUGGGGCCAUGGCUCUUUGAGGACCCCUCGUCGUUACCCUGCCACUCAAGACAGAACUCUUGGUCUUCCCGGGGUCCCCUGGACGUAACACUGUCUCAGCCUGUGAGGAGCGGUCCCAUCUCUGACAGGCUGCAUAGUUGGGAGGAAACCUGGAGCCUUAUUCCCGAGAAGGGGCUGCCUGAGGACGACCCGGACGUAGUUGUGAAAGGCUGGCUAUACCGUGAGCCCCGCGGAGGGAGUACGCGACCCUGGCUGCCCCCACGCCGGGCCUGGUUCCUGCUUACGAGGGACUCCCUGGACCAGUUCAGCAACAGUGGGAAGGGAGCACGGCGACUCGGGAGCCUGGUGCUUACCAGCCUGUGCUCGGUAACCGGCCCAGAGCGCAGGCCCAAGGAGACUGGUCUGUGGUCAGUGACUGUGUCUGGCCGGAAGCAUAGCGUUCGCCUCUGCACCCCUCGCCAGGCAGAGGCAGAACGCUGGGGGGUGGCACUGCGGGAAGUGAUCGCCUCCAAGGCUCCACUGGAGACCCCCACCCAGCUACUGCUCAGGGACAUACAGGAGAGUUGUGGGGACCCAGAGGCUGUGGCCCUCAUUUACCGGCGGAAUCCGAUUCUGAGGCACACCACUGGAGCCUUGUAUGCCCCACUUCUGCCCCUGCCCUAUGGAGUCAGUGCCCCAGGUCCAGGCUAUGCACCCUUGCGAGAGGAGGCGGUGAGGCUGUUUCUGGCCCUGCAGGCACUGGAGGGGGCGCGGCGCCCCGGGCCCUUGAUGCAGGGUGUGCUCCAAACCUGCCGGGACCUGCCUGCACUCCGGGACGAACUCUUCCUGCAGCUGGCUAAGCAGACCUCGGGGCCCGCAGGGCCUCCAGGGCUCCCAGCUACUCAAGACCCUGCUGCUCUGCGGUAUUGGCAGCUCCUCACCUGCAUGAGCUGCACCUUCCGGCCUGGGGGAGCCGUACGGGGGCAUCUGCUGGGGCAUUUGGAGAGGACCGAGCAGGCUCUUCCAGACUCGGAACUGGCGGAAUAUGCGCGCUUCAUCCGGAAAGCUCUGGGCCGGACGCGCGGCCGAGAGCUGGUGCCCUCUCUGGCAGAGAUUUCUGCGCUCAGCCAACGGCAGGAGCUGUUGUGCACCGUGCACUGUCCUGGGGCUGGUGCCUGCCCUGUGGCCAUCGACUCCCACACCACAGUGGGGGAGGUGGCUCGAGAACUGGUGGGACGGCUGGGCUUGGCGCGGAGCCGCAACACUUUCGCACUGUAUGAGCAGCGAGGGGUCCAGGAGAGAGCCCUGGCUGGGGGUACCCUCGUGGCUGACGUGCUCACCAGGUUUGAGAAUUUGGCUGUGCAAGAAGCUGGGCUAGAGGACUCUCCAGACUCUGGGUGGAGACUGUGCCUGCGUCUUCAUGGACCUCUGCACCCUGAGGGGCUGUCCCCAGACGGUCACGAAUUGCCUUUCCUCUUCGAGCAGGCUCAUGCUCUGCUGCUGCGGGGCCGACCGCCCCCGCCCGACGACACGUUGAGUGCCCUGGCAGCGCUGCGCCUGCAGAGCCUGCACCGGGACUUCUCCCCGCGAGUGCCCUUGCCCAGCUUGGACCGCCUGCUGCCGCCCCCCGCCCCACCGCAGGAAGACGCGCACCGUCCGGCCCCCAGGCCGGCCCCCUCCGCCGCCCUGCUGGCCGGGGCACUCUGGAGCCCGGGCCUGGCCAAGAGGCGGGCUGAGCCGGGCCGUCGCGGCAGGACCGGCCGCACGGCGGGAAGCACGGCCCGCGAGGGAGGAGGUGGCGCCGGCACGGCGGCUGCUGUGCUGGGCGGCUGGAAACGGCUACGGGGCAUGGGCCGAGCUGAGGCCAUGGCUGCCUACCUGGCCCUGGCGGCGCAGUGUCCGGGGUUCGGCGCUGCUCGGUAUGACGUUCUGGAGCUGAGCACGGUGAGGGGGAGAAGGGAGAAGGGGACUCUGGUGGCCCAAGCCCCACACUUUUGCCCCAGAGACACAGGCCCCCACUGCGGGUCACUUCAUUCCCUAUAUCUAGAACAGCCACCAUUUCAAAUUCCAGGAGUCACCAGUCUUGGGCCCUCACAUCCCUGGAGCCAUAGCCACCUCCACUCGCGCUAUGACUCAUUGGUGGGGGGUUGUUUGUCAGGAAACUCCCUGCUACCUGGCUCACUGCCAUCUCCCCCUACCAAAAAUAAUGCUGCAGGAUCUCCACCUUUCACCCUCACUCUGUCUCUUUCUGCAGGAGCCUGGUGGGGGUACUCCUCAGAAACUAUGCCUGGGCCUGGGAGCCAAGGCCAUGUCCCUCUCCCGGCCUGGUGAGACAGAGCCCAUCCACAGUGUCAGCUAUGGCCAUGUGGCCGCCUGCCAGCUAAUGGACCCUCACACCCUGGCGCUGAGGGUGGGAGAGAGUCAACUCCUCCUGCGGAGUCCCCAGGUGGAAGAGAUCAUGCAGCUGGUGAAUGCCUACUUGGCCAACCCCUCCCCCGAGAGGCCCUGCAGCAGCCCUUCUCCAUGCCAAGACCUGCCAGACGUCUCCCCUCCCAGCCAGCACCCGGGCCUGGAUGAGACCCAGGGACAGUCUGGCUGCUUGGGGCAGCUGCAGGACUGAGCCUGCCAAGAGGUCACGACUUCCCUCUUGCCUCUAGCCUGGGCCAGGACCCCUCUGAGAUUUGAGGGAAACAUGGACCCUUUUGGCCCUGCAGGGACAGGGCACACCCCACACUCAAUGGCUGCAGUGGGUGUGGACAAUUUUCUAGUUUGUUUCUUAAUUUAUUUGUAGAAGUGAAGCAAAAAAAAAAAAAAUCCUUAUUUACACAAA